UGAGUAACCUGCCCUUAACUCUGGGAUAAGCCUGGGAAGCUGGGUCUAAUACCGGAUAUGACUCCUCAUCGCAUGGUGGGGGGUGGAAAGCUUUUGUGGUUUUGGAUGGACUCGCGGCCUAUCAGCUUGUUGGUGAGGUAAUGGUUCACCAAGGCGACGACGGGUANCCGGCCUGAGAGGGUGACCGGCCACACUGGGACUGAGACACGGCCCAGACUCCUACGGGGAGGCAG
rnacentral:rRNA from 1 species